rnacentral:rRNA from 1 species
CCUACGGGGGGCAGCAGUGGGGAAUAUUGGACAAUGGGCGCAAGCCUGAUCCAGCAAUGCCGCGUGGGUGAAGAAGGUCUUCGGAUUGUAAAGCCCUUUCGGCGGGGACGAUGAUGACGGUACCCGCAGAAGAAGCCCCGGCUAACUUCGUGCCAGCAGCCGCGGUAAUACGAAGGGGGCUAGCGUUGCUCGGAAUUACUGGGCGUAAAGGGCGCGUAGGCGGUUCUGUUAGUCAGGCGUGAAAUUCCUGGGCUCAACCUGGGGACUGCGCUUGAUACGGCGGAACUGGAGGGCAGGAGAGGCUCGCGGAAUUCCCAGUGUAGAGGUGAAAUUCGUAGAUAUUGGGAAGAACACCGGUGGCGAAGGCGGCGAGCUGGCCUGUUACUGACGCUGAGGCGCGACAGCGUGGGGAGCAAACAGGAUUAGAUACCCCUGUAGUC